UUUCUUUUUUCCUUUUUUCUGUUUCCUGUUUUCUUUUUCUUUUUGUUUCCUUUUUUCUUUUUCCUGUUUCUUCUAUUAUUUUUCUUUUUUCCUUUUUUCUGUUUCCUGUUUUCUUUUUCUUUUUGUUUCCUUUUUCUUUUUCCUGUUUCUUCUUUAAUUUUUCUUUUUUCCUCUGUUUCCUGUUUUCUUUUUCUUUUUGUUUCCUUUUUCUUUUUCCUGUUUCUUCUUUUAUUUUUCCUUUUUGUUUCCCUUUUCUGUUUUCUUUUACAUUUAUUUACAAA
rnacentral:lncRNA from 1 species